UACGAAGGGGGCUAGCGUUGCUCGGAAUCACUGGGCGUAAAGGGUGCGUAGGCGGGUCUUUUAAGUCAGGGGUGAAAUCCUGGAGCUCAACUCCAGAACUGCCUUUGAUACUGAAGAUCUUGAGUUCGGGAGAGGUGAGUGGAACUGCGAGUGUAGAGGUGAAAUUCGUAGAUAUUCGCAAGAACACCAGUGGCGAAGGCGGCUCACUGGCCCGAUACUGACGCUGAGGCACGAAAACGUGGGGAGCAAACAGG
rnacentral:rRNA from 1 species